GGCCAGAGAUGACACAACAGAGAAAAUGAAUCAAGAUGAAAACAAGAAUAAGAAUAAUUUCCCUUCCUGGCCGGGCGCGGUAGCUCACUUUGGGAGACCAAGAGAAUUCAUGGCUGGGACCAGCUAGUCCUUGGCUCCACCUUCUUGGGAGCAGAUUAAAUACGACUUCAAGCCAGUGAGGUGAUUUGAGUCCCAGCAGCCUCAUCUGCCAAGUCAACCCCAGCACUGCAUUGAGAAAGGUCAGAGAUUCGGAGUGCAGACAAGAGCUGUCCCAUGCCAGAGCCCAAACUUGUCCCCUGGUUGGGAAGCUGAGGAGUGAUUCUUUGGUUCUCAGAUGCUCCGAGGGUGCCUCAGGUGGCAUGCAGUCAGUGCACACAUCCCAGGUAUGUUAGCUGCACCCCGGCCAGCCUCCCGAGUUUGGGGUGCUGCCGACACAGGAUGCGUCUACUGCGCAUCAUGAUAGGCCUCCCCAAGUACCCUGUCCUGCUGGUGCCCUGUCUUCUGACCCCUCAUCAGAUCUUGGUGCCAAGCCCUGACAACCACUUCACUCUGGAGGCCGUUCUCAGAGCCUAUUUCACAGCUCAUUCAGAAGGAAAAUGAGGGGGCCUUUUCCAUUUCCAGUAUUAAAUGAUUUAAUUCACAAGGGACUUGGUCAACACAAGUAUCCCAACAGAGCCCAGGCCCUGUAUCAUUUGCAAUUUACCAUUCUGAUUAAAACCAACCCAACCCCAUCAAGCUCUGCAUGGGGUGAACCAGCCGAAACUGCACCACAGGCCCCAGCAGGACAUCCGGCCCAGGGAACUGAGGCCGGGGAGGGGAGGGGGAGCCGGGAGUGCCUCUGCCUCAUUUCAGGAGACUGAUAUGAAUGGUAGGAAAUCCGGUCCCCCCUUAAGAUGGAUGUUUCUGUAGAAAUACAUCUGAUAAAUGUUUAAUUACAUUUUAAGAGGGACCAUUAUUCAUGGAACAGUCAUUAGCCCCAGAGGACUUCAAGCCCCUCACCUGGUUAAGAGCCACGUUCAUAUGCAGAUCAGCCCCCCACUUCCAACACUCCCUGCUCCAAGAGGAGAGCAGCUGGGAGAGCCUGGUGAGCUCUCCAUCAAAACAGGGUGACACAGGGCAGCAGUGGGGUGGCCAGUGGCUUGGCUGUGGGUGGGAGAUUUCAGACAGGUCGACAUAAGCCAGGAACCUGAAUCAAGGCGUCGAGACCUCAGCCCCACCCCGACCCACCUGUUCUAAGGGUCCCUGCAGGGCUCCGUAAUCCCCACCUGUGACAGACUCCCCUCCUGAAGCUCUUGAUGCUUCCCAGGCCCCCUCGAAGUCCUGUGGUUCCCUGGAGAUGCUGUCAGCCCACAAGGUGCCAGGAAGGACCUUCUUGGGAUGAAAGACUUGGGUGAACCUGUCCUGGGUGACAUGCAGUGGGUGUGUCGCUCAGAGUUCUGAGGUGGCAGGUGACAGAAUCCACGUAAGGUCCUGAAGCAAGGAAAAGCAGAACCGACCAGAAGGUCCCAGGAGCAGGAGUCCCAGGUCUUUGAGGGGCAGGAACUAGGGCAUCCUGGAGCUCUGGGUGGCAGGGGCAAGUGAGAAGAGCUUGCUGAGGGCUGCUCAGUAUAAGCCCAGGUGACUUAAGUCCCAGAAAAAAAACCGGUGGGCCCUUACCCAUAGAAGGCAGCAGAGCCAGACCAUUGCCGUGCACUCCAGGAGGUGCAGGCACCAUUCUGCCUCUCAGCCCUGCCAGGAAACUUCUCCCUUCCUCUUUCCCCUCGCCCUCCUCUACCAGGUGGAAUUAAUUAGCAAAAAAACACAAACACAAAAACAAACUCUCAAUGCCUAAAUAGCAUUGUUUAUUUGUCACUGACUUCACCUUGUAUUUGCCUGUCUUUGUGCCUCAGUCUCUAAAAUGAGCACAAAAUGAACAUUCAAGGGAGAUAAGUGUGCACUGGCCUGGGGAGUGGGGGGAGACAGCUUCAAUCUGUCAAACAGCCUAUUCCAUGUGAGAAAUGUCAGCAGAUAGAAAUGGAUUAAGUCUGCCACUGAGUUGGUUACAAUCCAGAGGUGAGGGUCUUUGGAGUGACCUUUAUUUAAGAAAUAUCACAGCAAAGUCUGUUGGAAAGACGCUCUGGUGAAUGAUGGAGCCUGAUGCACGGUGUGUUCACUGGGCUCUCCGGAAAAAGAGCCAGCAGGAGGUGUCCAUAUCCUACAUACAGAGAAAGAGGUUGAGUUUAAGGAAUUGGCUAAUGUGAUCCUGAAGGCUAGCAAGUCCAAAAUCUGCAGGCUGGGCAGGUUCGAGACCCAGGGAGGAGCCGGCGCUGCCGUUCAAGUCUGAAGGUCAUGGAGCUGGAGAGGGGAGGAGCCAGUGCUGCCGUUCAAGUCUGAAGGUCAUGGAGCUGAAGACCCAGGGAAAAGUUGGUGCUGCCAUUCAAGUCUGAAUAUCGUGGAGCUGGAGACCCAGAAAGGAACCGGUGCUGCUGUUCUAGUUUGAGGGUCAUGGAGCUGGAGACCAGGGGAAGAGCCGGAUUGCUGUCGAAGUCUGAGGGUCGUGGAGCUGGAGACGUGGGGAGAAGCUGGUGUUGCCAUUCAAGUCUGAAGAUAGGAGAGCUGGAGACCCAGAAAGGAGCUGGUGCUGCUGUUCAAGUCUGAGGGUCAUGGAGCUGGAGACCCAGAAAGGAAAUGGUGCUACUCUUCGAGUUUGAGGGUCAUGGAGCUAGAGACUGGGGGAGGAGCUACCGUUCGAGUGGCGGCUCCCUGGGUCUCCAGCUCCAAGAUGCUCAAACUUGAACAGCGGUAGCACCAGCUCCUCCCCGGGUCUCCAGUUCCAUGACCCUCAGACUUGAAGAGUAGCACCAUUGCCUUUCUGGGUCUCCAGCUCCAUGAUCCUCAGACUUGAGGAGCUGGAGACCCAGGGAGGAGCCGGUGCUGCUGUUCCUGUUUGAGGGUCAUGGAGCUGGAGACCUGGGGAGAAGCUGGUGCUGCUGUUCAAGUCUGAAGAUAGUGGAGCUGGAGACCCAGAAAGGAGUUGGCACUGCUGUUCAAGUCUGAGGGUCGUGGAGCUGGAGACCCAGAAAGGAAAUGGUGCUAGUCUUCAAGUUUGAUGGUCAUGGAGCUGGAGAUAUGGGGAGGAGUCAGUGCUGCUGUUCUAGUUUGAGGGUCUGGGAUCUGGUGACCCGGGGAGGAGCCAGUGCUGCAGUUCAGGUUUGAGGGUCAUGGAGGUGCUGACCCAGGGAGGAGCUGGUGCUGCUUUUUAAAUUUGAGGGUCGUGGAGCUGGGGAUCUGGGGAAAAGCCAGUGCUGCUGUUUUAUUUUCAGGGUCACGGAGCUAAAGACCCGGGAAGGAGCUGGUACUGCAGUUCAAGUUUGAGGUUCGUGGAGCUGGAUAUCUGGGCAGGAGUCAGUGCUCCUGUUCUAGUUUGAGGGUCUGUAGCUGGGGACCU
rnacentral:lncRNA from 1 species